AAUAAAUGUGAAUUUUUAUACCAGGGUAGUAAUAGUUAUGUUCUUGAAACCCAAAGAAUUUGGCGGUAUUUUAGUCCUUUCAGAGGAAUCUGUCCCGUAAUCGACAGUCCACGAGAUAAUUUACUUAUCCUUGUAUUUCAGUUUGUAUACCUCCGUCAUAAGAAGAUCUUUUUAGAGAUAAAUUUUCUUAAUAUAUUAAGUAUAAAAUGUCAGGUCAAGGUGCAAUUUAUGGAUGAGUGGAGAUGGAUUACAAUAAAUUUAUUUAAAUGGAUUAAAUUAUUUAAUUUUUUAUGAAGGUGGAUUUGAUAGUAAUUUUAAUUGUUUGUUAUUAUGAUUUUGGCUCUAAAAUAUGC
rnacentral:rRNA from 1 species